AUAAAACAUGAAAAAAAUAGAAAAAAAUCAUUUGACAUGUUGUCAUUAUCAUCGAAAAAUUUGGCCCAAAACAUGGCAAAAGGCUUCUCGUAGGGUCGUUGAACUUGCCUCAAAUGUUGGCAAUGUCAUUUUGGUGAUAAAUCUAAGAAAGUUAGGUUUUGUCAAAUUACUAUUCCUUUGACUUUUAGCACUAAAGCACGCCAAAAUUAAUUCUGAAGGAGUCAGUUUUGACACCUUUGAUAGCUUUGCUCUUCUGGUGUUUAAAAUGUCACCGGGGUUUUUUUUUUUUUUUUUUCGCCAUACAAUAGGAUGUAGUAAUUGACAACAGAAAUUGAUCACCUCUUCCAUGAAGAUUUCAACUCAAGACCUCUACUUUGAGAGAGAGAGAAAGAGAGUAAGAAACCAACCACACUUGGGUGGUAUUCCUUAAAUGUCACGGUUUGACAAACAAGCUUUGGGACCCAUGGAGUACAAGGAAGGGGGAUAAAGGGUAAUCCGGACUAACUUAUCCGAACUCAUUUACGUUCGGAAUUAGUUAGAGCCAUCGAGCCAGGAUAAACAGGAUAAGCAAGAACCUUGCAGGGAUUUUAGCUUAUCUUAUCUCACCCCACCCACCAUUUUAGCUUUAUCCGAGUGUGAGAAAUUACUGUCGUGCCUCCGAACUCUUCAAAUCCUUUCUGGAGUAUCAAUCUAAGAAUUAUAUAAGGACAACUAAGUAAUUUCUCACAUUAUUUCUUUAUCCAUUUACUCUCGUCCACCCAUAUCAACUAUCAAUCUAACUCCUUCGCUGAAUCUCUUGCCUUCGUAAAAAAUUUGCCGACCCUAUCUUUCUCUCUCUUUCUCUCGACCCUAGCCACCACAACUCCUCUUCUCCCUUUCCCUCCACCUGCGGGUUCCAUACCCGUGUGCGGUGGCGGGAGAAGAAGGUCAUGGUACUAUCCCGACUCAUUUUCUUUAUUUUUACCUUUUUUUUCCCGUCUCUCAAGAUCAACGACUUGUCGUCUAAUCUGUGAGAGUUUUGUCACUCAUUUUACGAGAGUUUUGUCAAACGAGAGUUGUUAGUUUCGUCUUUGGACGAAUUUUGUCUAUAGAUCGGGUUCUAUCAAUUGAGCUUCACAACGAUAUAUGUGCUUCAAUACUCUCACUAUACGAUGUCAUUGGCGGAGCAACUCGUGGCAACUUGACAAAUCUGUAAUUCUUGGGAGUUCAUUAGUGCGUUCAUCUUUGGUUGGAGUGCAUUUGAUCGUCUAGGUAUUUAGUGUCUUUUAUCCUUAAUUUUAUAUUUUUUCUUGUUUGAGACUCCUAAUUAGAUGUUUGACAAUUUAAAAGUAUCGCUGUUGCGUCAGGCCAUGCCUAGAUUAGGAUGAAAGAUAUUGAUUUCCUUGUAAUUGCCUUUACUACCGAAUCCCUUAUCCACCUCCUAUCCCCUCUAAUUCCUUAUCUGCCCAAUACCAUAUGCGGGUGCCAAACAGGCUGUUAGUGUUGUAAAUGUUAUUUCUUCCAUUUUCCUUCAUUAAAAAGAACUAAACAUAAAUGACAACUGCGAGUCCCUUACUCGUACUUUUACUCACAGUUGAGUAAAGUUUCUUUUGACUGACGUACAUGUAAAAUUGAGAAAGAAGAAAUAGACGUCUAGAGUUCGAGUCUUUUUUUUUUUAAAUUUAUUAAAAAUUUUAAUUAGAGUCAGUUUGUUAUAGUUUUGUGUCAGAAAAUGGCUUUCAGGCUGUUUUAACUCGUAAUUUGAUUCUGAGUAACAAAAGAGUCAAAGGCUGGAGAUGCCCUCCAUUAUUUGGGUUUGGUAGCUCCUUUUAGCAGCUGCCCCCAUUUUAGUAUGGGUUUGGUAGCUCCUUUAUAAAUUGGAGCUGAUCUAAAUACUACUUCUACUUACAUUUGUAUCACUUUUAUUCGACCGGAAAAGAAAGAAAAACGAAUAACAAAAACAAGAACAAGAACUUUUUGAAUUGAAGAGUUGAGUUGACGUAUUUGAUCAGUGCACAAGAGUACCUCAGCUUGCAGACCCGGCAAAGCCGCAGAUAAAAUUGCGCCCUGAAAUUUUCACCAACAGCUCCAUUAAUUAUUUGUACAAAUUACAAAGAAUAAAAAAUAAGAAUUAACGUGGGAAUAAGAACAAUAAAUGAUGAGCGAAAAAAAAAAAUGGAAUGCAAUGGCCCGGACACUCUGACCGUAUGUAAAAAAAAAUUAAAUGCAAAAAUCACUAAUGAAAACAAUAUGAAAGAUUGAAAUAUACAGAGUACUGUACCUGAGAGAAACCAAGAAGACCAUCAAAUGGUCCGUGCUCUAUCAUGUAAUCCUCUAUAUACGCCAGACACUCGUCAAAAUUGGUGUACUCUGUGAAUUCCUGAAAAACAAAAAGAAAAAUAAAAUUCAAAAGCUAUAUAUAACUAGGGACAUAAGCUUACAAACAAAUUUUAUAUCAAAUCCAAGAGUUCCGCUAAUAUUUUUAUUUUUUAAAUGCUUAUUUUCUAUUUUACAAGACAGAACAUUGUCUCAAAAUAUAAGUAUCAUAUUUCAUUCAAAAACAAAAACAAAGUACUACUUAUUUAAAUAGGUACUGUAGAACACAUGUAUCAAAUCCACGACUUAGACUUAGACACACGGAGUUUUAUUCGUCAGGCUAUGAAAUUGGUCCCAUAAUUGAUUGGACCCGGGGUGCUGUAGUGCACCUCCCGCACGUACUACACGUAUAGUGUAGUACAGCCAAUUCAGCCGUUCAUCUCGACAAUAGACGUCUUGGAUUUUCAUCCAUCCAAACAAUGGACGGGUAGGAUUUGUAAAAGCACAGAUUAUAUCCAAUCAUUCAUUGUCAAGAUCGAUGACCCGGGUGCGCCUUACGGGAUGCCUUGCAGAGUCUUGCACUAUAGGAUUUCCCAAUCCUAAUUGAUUGCAGCAUGCUUAAACUAAUCCAGACAACUCUAGUUUCGAACUCGCUGAAUUAUAGUAAGACAUUAUAUGAAUGAAGAAAAGGAAAGUUGACCUUGUUGAAUUGAAACCAUUCGUAGUAAGGAGGAUCAAAGAUCCCUUCCACGUCGGAUUUGCCGUUGGCCGGGAAAGGGGCGUCGACGAACACGAGAUCGAGCUUCUCGAGCACGGACGGGGGCCAUUUCUCGAUCUGCGUUUUCAUAAUCUGGCCGUUGGUUCUGAACCCAUGUAGGCACAGAAACCUGGGCUUCUUCCUCUCGAUUUUCUGCUGAUUUUGUUCUUCUUGCUUUCCCAUUUUAAAAUACCCGUGUUUCUCGUUCCGAAGCCUUUGCGGGAAAACUCUGACUCUGUUUU